rnacentral:lncRNA from 1 species
AGACUGUCAGGAAAAGCUGUUUUUAAAAAAAUAUUAAAAACCACAUGAGAAUAAAAAAUCAGUUUGGCAGGAAACCUGAAGAAUAUUUGAUAAAAGUGGUUUCUGUUAGUCUUGGCCCAAAGAAAACGUCUUAGCUCUUUGCUAGAACCGGGCAGCGUGGUGGAAAAAAAAAGAUGCAGUGUCUCCUUCUCUUGCCUAAUCUUUUGGCAGACAAAUGGAUCAUUCUGACAUCGUGUUAGAAGUGUCAGCCUUGUAUUGGACACCCCAAAGAUACUGUACUUUAUGGUGGCAUUACUUCUGGGCAUUGUUGCUGCUUAAGGAAGAGCUGCCAGUCUGCUUUGUAACAUUGUUGGGGCAGAGUUCAGCCGCCUCUACAGCAGUUCCACUUCCCGGAGGGGGCAAAAAGGAAAGCCGGAGGCAGAGCUGUGCAGUGUGGUUGACAAGGGCCUGGUUGUCAUUAUUCUCUCACGCCAGUAUGAAAGAGGUGAGUCUCACAGUUCCCGCGGCAGGUUUGCUUGUGGGGUGGGCCCGUCUGUUAAACUGUUGGUGGCCACCAAUUGGCAGUCCCUGGUUAGACGUUAGGAAGCUGGUAGCUUAGCUUUAUGGGAACCCUGAAACAAUACGCACUACUGUUUCCUGAGAGAAACACUAGAAAUGCAAGUAGGAUUUAAAUACUGGGGAUGAUGUGUUUUGCUAGCUCUAUGGAGGCCUUUGGCAUGAUCCCUUUCAAUUCAUCUAAGAGGAAGGUUCCCCCCG